rnacentral:rRNA from 1 species
CGUGUAGGCGGUGCUUUAAGUUGGAUGUGAAAUCUUCCGGCCUAACUGGAAGGGGCCAUUCAAUACUGGGGCACUUGAGGUCAGAAGAGGGAAGCGGAAUUCCCGGUGUAGCGGUGGAAUGCGUAGAUAUCGGGAGGAACACCCGUGGCGAAAGCGGCUUCCUGGUCUGCACCUGACGCUGAUACGCGAAAGCUAGGGUAGCAAACG